GGAGAGAGGAGAGAGGCGAGGGGAGCAGGCAGCAGGGAAACACAGAGGCGGCAGCCCAGAGCUCGGAGGAGAAGAAGCUGUGAAGGAGGUUUGAGAAGGAACUCCUUUCCGUAAUCACGAAACUAUCAUUCUGAAUCACCUCUUAAAAACAUCAUCUGCAGUGACAUAAUAACAUUCCUUAGAAGUGGCUACUGUUGCAACAAUCUGUCUCCUUAAACCUUAUCACAGCGCAAGGCUUUUGAGAAGCAACGCAUGACAGCCACCGGGAAAUCUUCAGAGCAAGAUGAGGUCUCACAAUCAAUGGCCGCCUGUGAGGAGCCACACGUACACGCUGCACUGACAAUGUCACAGCUCGCUUCUGCCUGUGAACUACACCCUUGCCUUUUGCUUCCCCACACAGGCUCUGUUUUCUCAAAAGCUAGUUGUUAUCUUUAAAGCCUCUACAUGCUUCCAAAGAAAAAUUACACAUUGCUUGAUUUGUGGCACAGUAGUCUCAAUUCAGUUUCCUCAUGAAGACACGCACAGUGAUGUCUUUCCUGUGUGCAUCCCAUUCCUCAUUUGAAUUCUCAAUCUUUUCACCAUCUUCUCUUGUAAACCUGCUGUUAUCUCAUGGCUCAGUAAUGAAAGUGAUACUGGUGUCAGAGAAGCUGUGCUUAGUUUAAGAUUUCUGUAACUGAAACAACAAAAUGGUUUAAUUCGA